CUUACAAUGCAGAACUAAUAAACCUCAAGGCCGCCAGCACCUGCCACGUGGGCGCCAAACUACUGAGCAUAGCGCUCACGAAACUACCCCCCAUCGCCCACAACAACACUAGUCGCCUGCCGCGAGUGUCGGAGAGGUGACUGAUAAUCUUACCAGCAAAUGGCAUAGACGAGAGCACUCCAAUCUGCUGCAAAUUCAUCCCCAGGUCGCAGGUGGCCGCUGUAACGAUGAUGCCGAGUCCAAAGAUGUCGAUACCCAUCGCCACGAUCACCAUGAAACACGCAAACAACAGUCCAACGUUGUAUCUCCCAUGACCUGGAAAUUGAUUAUAUAUGAUAAGAUUUCUAACAUUUACCUGACUUGUUAUUUAUGACAAGUUCAUCUCCCAAGUGAACACAGAACAACGUCUGUGUUACAGAUUACUAGCAAACAGAUCAGAAAAUUCUUCUGAUGCUACUAACAGCAAGUCAACUGUUAAAAUCAAAAAAGUAACCUUUAUUGUGGUACUUUAAGUAAAUAAUACCAACAAAAAAAACAAAAGUGUUGAACAUUUUUUUAACACAAUAAAAGGUGACUGCACAAACAAUUUUAUCAUAAAUUAUUAUAAUAAUUUGAACUUGUUAUGGUAAUUAUGUUUUCGUGAUUAUAUUAUCUUAAUUUUUUCUAUAUUUUUUAAAAGAAUUCGCCAACGAGAAUGAAGGACGCGAUCAUUUGAAUUGCAAAUUUUCACCUACUUGAGGAAAUAAAUUAAUUUGCUACUGCAACAACAUUGUCACGUGUGACACGUGGCCGUGUUACAAACGAGAUAUAAUUUAUCGAACCGGUGAGAUUCAGUUCCCGUUACAUUGGUAAUAAUGAUAAUAUUUACAUCAAAUAAUAAUUUAUUAAUUGAUAAAUAAUUUACGGCCGCAAGUGGUUUCAACGUUUGGAUGUCGUGUCGUCAUAAAACCUUAUGAUUUAUAUUUAAAAUCUUUUGUUUGUUUGUUUACCUCGACCUGUUAACGCGAUCCGCUCGAACAUUCAAAAUCUAUGAACGAAAACCGUUAGUCAAGAAACAAGUCACUAUAAACACGAAUAUAAAGUACACUAAAAGAUUUUAAUUUUCGUUACUUUUCUUAUCAUUUAAUUAAGACAAAGAGUACAUUUUUAAUGUGACUGUAGUACCUAUCGGAGGAAAGAUGAUAGUAAUACACAUGUUAUGCUUUGAAAUUAUUUACCGGUUUUAUAAUAAAAUAUAUGCACUUAUAAAAGUCUCUCGGUUUGAGCGUUUUUGUUUACAUCGAGCGAAAACAUUAAAGUAUAACAGUUCUUAACUUAGUGAUGGUACAGCAUCUUAUUACAACAAUUAAAAACUCCUUAUCUCUCAAUCACCUGUCAAUUCCAACGCCUCCUCGUAUCCGUACACAACCUCCUUCACACCAUCACUCAUUUCCAUAUCACUACGGUUCCUAUCCAUUUCAUACGACUUAUAUUUCAAUGUUAUUGUAAUAUAAUUGUUUAUACAUUAUUCAGUUAAUUAAUUUAUUGAUGUGAAUCGUUGCUUCGUCUUAUUUUUUAUAAACUUCAUUAAUACUUAAUUAUUCAUUAUUAUAUAUUACUGUUUU